ACACUGACAUGUAUUCGGCAGUGGCCCUGCCUCCGGCCCUCCCAUUUCCUGCUAAGAACGCUUCACAUUGGGCUCUGCUCACCCCACUUAGAGAAGACUUGGUGGGGGAGGGGAACCCGAGAGGUGAGUCUACCUGGCCAGGAGCACCCAGCAACUGUGAGUCACAGUCUCCCGAGAGGGGGCUCCCUUGCGCUCAACCUCGCCUUUUGGUUUUAACGAGGGCAUCUCCUGGCAGCCCCUGGCUCCUGGCCUGGGUCACAAGAGCCCAAACGAGCCUGAAGAAUCCUACACACUCUUCCGGCAAAGUAGGCUAACCUUAUCCCUGAAGGAUUCUUGGCCUGUUCAUCAGUAACUAUACUGAGGACUUACUAUGUGCAGAGGAUGCACGGGAGAGCAACGCCAGGGAACAAUGGAAUGCCACUGAAGGGUUUGAAACAAGGAGGUGGCCUGCCCAUAUCCGUGUUUGGGCAAGAUGCUUAUGGCUGCUGAGGAGAGAAUGCAUGGGAGGGACGCCAGCAAAGAAGAGAAAGCCAGCGACAAAGUCUUCAAUUAUGUUAUAAUCACGUUCUUGGUGUGAUUUGUGUUCCUCUGACAAUAAUGACCUGGACGAUUUAAAAAAAUGUAAUUGUAUUUGAAGUGUGUAAAAUCUAAUGGUUUCAUAAAAAAAUGUAAA